UACGUAGGCAGCGAGCGUUGUUCGGAAUUACUGGGCGUAAAGAGUGUGUAGGCGGUGCUCUAAGUUCGGUGUGAAAUCUCCUGGCUCAACUGGGAGGGUGCGCCGGAAACUGGAGUGCUUGAGCGUGGGAGAGGAAAGCGGAAUUCCUGGUGUAGCGGUGAAAUGCGUAGAUAUCAGGAGGGACACCUGUGGUGUAGACGGCUUUCUGGACCAUAGCUGACGCUGAGACACGAAAGCGUGGGUAGCAAACAGG
rnacentral:rRNA from 1 species